rnacentral:rRNA from 1 species
UACGAAGGGGGCUAGCGUUGUUCGGAAUCACUGGGCGUAAAGCGCACGUAGGCGGACCUUCAAGUCAGGGGUGAAAUCCCGGGGCUCAACCUCGGAACUGCCUUUGAUACUGUUGGUCUUGAGUCCGGAAGAGGUGGGUGGAAUUCCUAGUGUAGAGGUGAAAUUCGUAGAUAUUAGGAAGAACACCGGUGGCGAAGGCGGCCCACUGGUCCGGUACUGACGCUGAGGUGCGAAAGCGUGGGGAUCAAACAGG